UACAGAGACUGCAAGCGUUAAUCGGAAUUACUGGGCGUAAAGCGCGCGUAGGUGGUUUGUUAAGUUGGAUGUGAAAUCCCCGGGCUCAACCUGGGAACUGCAUUCAAAACUGACAAGCUAGAGUAUGGUAGAGGGUGGUGGAAUUUCCUGUGUAGCGGUGAAAUGCGUAGAUAUAGGAAGGAACACCAGUGGCGAAGGCGACCACCUGGACUGAUACUGACACUGAGGUGCGAAAGCGUGGGGGAGCAAACAGG
rnacentral:rRNA from 1 species